rnacentral:rRNA from 1 species
AAUAGAUACCCGGGUAGUCCACGCCGUAAACGAUGGAUACUAGCUGUUGGAGGUAUCGACCCCUUCAGUAGCGAAGCUAACGCGUUAAGUAUCCCGCCUGUGGAGUACGGUCGCAAGACUAAAACAUAAAGGAAUUGACGGGGACCCGCACAAGCGGUGGAUCGUGUUCUUUAAUUCGAUGCUAAACGAAGAACCUUACCAGGGCUUGACAUCCCUUGAAUUAAUCCGAAAGGAUUGAGUGCUUUAUUGAACAAGGUGACAGGUGUUGCAUGGCCGUCGUCAGCUCGUGUCGUGAGAUGUUUGGUUAAGUCCAUCAACGAGCGCAACCCUUGCAAGUAGUUGUAUUUUUCUACUUGGACUGCCCCGGCAACGGGGAGGAAGGAGGGGAUGAUGUCAGGUCAGUAUUACCCUUACGUCCUGGGCUAGAAACACGAUACAAUGGCAAGUACAAUGCGCAGCGAAGCCGCGAGGUGAAGCAAAUCGCAUCAAAGCUUGUCCCAGUUCGGAUUGGAGGCUGAAACUCGCCUCCAUGAAGUCGG